GCGGAUAUGGCGGAACUGGUAGACGCACUGGAUUUAGGUUCCAGCGCCGCAAGGCGUGGGGGUUCGACUCCCUCUAUCCGCACCA
rnacentral:tRNA from 3 species